AGCAGCCGCGGUAAUUCCAGCUCCAAUAGCGUAUAUUAAAGUUGUUGCAGUUAAAAAGCUUGUAGUUGAAUUUCGGGAUCAAUAUAUCGGUCGUGCCUUGGUACGUACUGGUAUCAUUGGUUUCUCCUUUCUGACGAACCAUGAUGUCAUUAAUUUGGUGUUAUGGGAAGUUAGGACUGUUACUUUGAAAAAAUUAGAGUGUUUAAAGCAGGCUUUAGCUUGAAUACAUUAGCAUGGAAUAAUGAAAUAGGACGUUCGAACCUAUUUUGUUGGUUUCUAGGAUCAACGUAAUGAUUAAUAGGGAUAGUUGGGGGCAUUAGUAUUCAAUUGUCAGAGGUGGAAUUCUUGGAUUUAUUGAAGACUAACUACUGCGAAAGCAUUUGCCAAGGAUGUUUUCAUUAAUCAAGAACGAAAGUUAGGGGAUCGAAGACGAUCAGAUACCGUCGUAGU
rnacentral:rRNA from 1 species